CCAUUGCAUGUGCCCUGAAGCUCUGAGGAAUUGCAAAAGGUCUAACUUGGCUGAAGGCAAAGCUUCAAGGUUAGUAAGGAGAGCUGGUUGCCGGACUCUGCAUCACCAUCUGAGUACCUGGGUGUACUUCAUGCUUUCGCGUGUGUGUGACAUCAUGGAUGCAAUGUUCUCCUCAGAACAUGGAGUUCAACCUGCUGUCCUCUCUCUGUACCAACACUGAAGCUUUUAAAGCAUCCCUGGAAGAGUUAUUGUGGAAGGAAUUGCUAAAGGGCCAAAGACAACUGCCAGUCUCUUAAAAGGUAAUUUUCCUGCGUCAGCGUCACAGAGGCAGAUUGCUUGAGACUGCAUUUAUUCAUUUUUCUUUAAUUUUUUUACUAUACUUUACCUUGGAUUAAUUGCUUGAUAAUGUCAGUCCAUUUCUCUGUGGGAUCCCCAAAUGGGAAUUCAGUCACUGCCUCUGGCCAAGUGGGGAGCCUUCAUCUGCUUGGGAUGACAAAGAUCUGCGGUCUCCUCACCCAGCCACCUGUUCAUCAGUGAGU